AUUCCACCACCGGCGGGUCAUCACAAGGUUAAUGUCGACGCUGCUAUAUGUAAACAACCUCCUGUCGGGGCCAUAAAUGCGGUUUGCCGGGAUCAAUCAGGAACUUUUGCUGGGUCAGCAUCGGUGGUAUUUCAUGGCAUGACCGAUCUACAUAUACUGGAAGCUUUGGCAUGCCGCGAGGCUAUUGCAUUAGCCAGGGACCUUGCACUUACUCAUUUGGAGGUAGCUUCUGAUUGCCUUGCGGAGAUCAUCGACUCGAGUAGGGAGUUUCAGUCUUGUUCUUUCGUCCAUGAGAAACGUCUCUCUAAUAAGGAGGCUCAUGGCUUAGCUCGACAUGCUUUACAUUUAGGGGAGGGUCGCCAUGUAUGGCUGUUACACCCUCAUGAUACUGCUAUUAUUCCUGUAACUCGUUCUAUUGAGCAAUAA
rnacentral:rRNA from 1 species